rnacentral:rRNA from 1 species
AUUCCAGCUCCAAUAGCGUAUAUUAAAGUUGUUGCGGUUAAAAAGCUCGUAGUUGGAUUUCUGCUGAGGACGACUGGUCCGCCCCCUGGGUGAGCAUCUGGUUCGGCCUGGGCAUCUUCUUGGGGAACGUAUCUGCACUUGAUUGUGUGGUGCGGUAUCCAGGACUUUUACUUUGAGGAAAUUAGAGUGUUUCAAGCAGGCCCGCGCCUUGAAUACAUUAGCAUGGAAUAAUAAGAUAGGACCUCGGUUCUAUUUUGUUGGUUUCUAGAGCUGAGGUAAUGAUUAAUAGGGAUAGUUGGGGGUGCUAGUAUUCAGCGGCCAGAGGUGAAAUUCUUGGAUUCGCUGAAGACUAACUUAUGCGAAAGCAUUCACCAAGGAUGUCUUCAUCG